rnacentral:tRNA from 1 species
CAAAUUAAAGCUUAAUGCGUUUUAUUUACACUAAAAAGUUUGCUAAUAAAUUUAGAUGAUUUGA